AGCGAACGCUGGCGGCAGGCCUAACACAUGCAAGUCGAACGAACCUUUCGGGGUUAGUGGCGGAUGGGUGAGUAACACGUGGGAACGUGCCUUUAGGUUCGGAAUAACUCAGGGAAACUUGUGCUAACACCGAAUGUGCCCUUCGGGGGAAAGAUUAAUCGCCUUUAGAGCGGCCCGCGUCUGAUUGACUAGUUGGUUAAGGUAACGGCGUAACAAGGCGACGAUGCAUAGCUGGUCUGAGAGGGUGAUCAGCCACAUGGGAACUGAGACACGGCCCAAAAUCCGACGGGAGGCAGCAGUAGGGAAUCUGCCGCAAUGGGCGAAAGCCUGACGGAGCAACGCCGAGUGAGUGAUGAAGGUCUUAGGAUCGUAAAACGCUGUGAGUAGGGAAGAACAUAUGUGUAAGUAACUGUGCACAUCUUGACGGUAGCUAAUCAGAAAGACACGGCUAAAUACGUG
rnacentral:rRNA from 1 species